AUUGCGAUACAGAGAAAGAGAAAGGGAAAAAGGGGAAAAACCUACUCUCUGCACAUCAGUCUUCUUAACUUUUUUUCUCUCUAAAAAAAACCCUAGCCAUACUACGAUAGAGGCGAUCUUUUCACAUCAAACUCCGCUACGAGAAAAGAAAAAAAAAGAAAGACUUGCGCCACAGUGGAGAUUCGAUUGAUCAUCGCUAUCCCCUUUUGAGUUUUCCAGAUCUAUCAUCUCUGCUCUGGCUUAUAAGACAGUUGGUAGCUAUUCAAGAAGAGCUACUUGAUUAAAUAUAAAGAAAUAUCUUCUAAGAGUGGGCCACAACUUUACUUGCAAUGUUAAGGCUGAUUAGUGUUUUAGUGUCUUAGCUAUGUCCGAGUCGAUUGAGAUGGCUCUAUUAGAAUCAUACACUAGCAUAAGUGGUUUACAAGAGAUUUGAGAGGCAGAUGAACUCUCUGCAAUGAACUAUAUGAAAACUUUGACAUCAAGCCUCCUAAGGUGUUUCUUUCCCUCCUUUUAUCUCUAAUU